CUCCCUACGGGGCGCAGCAGUGGGGAAUAUUGGACAAUGGGGGGAACCCUGAUCCAGCGACGCCGCGUGAGUGAAGAAGUAUUUCGGUAUGUAAAGCUCUAUCAGCAGGGAAGAAAGAAAUGACGGUACCUGACUAAGAAGCCCCGGCUAACUACGUGCCAGCAGCCGCGGUAAUACGUAUGGUGCAAGCGUUAUCCGGAUUUACUGGGUGUAAAGGGAGCGUAGGCGGCGCGUUAAGUCUGAUGUGAAAACCCGAGGCUCAACCACGGGAGUGCAUUGGAAACUGGCGGGCUGGAGUGCCGGAG
rnacentral:rRNA from 1 species